rfam:Rattus norvegicus chromosome 5, whole genome shotgun sequence.
UGGCUCAGUGGUUAGAGCACUGGCUGCUCUUCCAGAGGUCCUGGGUUCAAAUCCCAG